GAUGAACGCUAGCGGCAGGCUUAACACAUGCAAGUCGCGGGGCAGCGGGGAGUAGCAAUACUCUGCCGGCGACCGGCGGAAGGGUGCGUAACACGUGAGCAACUUGCCCGUAUCAGGGGGAUAACCGAUGGAAACGUCGCCUAAUACCCCAUAACAACAUAUGUUGCAUGACAUAUGUUUGAAAGCUCCGGCGGAUACGGAUAGGCUCGCGGGACAUUAGCUAGUUGGAGUGGUAACGGCACACCAAGGCGACGAUGUCUAGGGGUUCUGAGAGGAAGACCCCCCCACACUGGGACUGAGACACGGCCCAGACUCCUACGGGAGGCAGCAGUGAGGAAUAUUGGUCAAUGGGCGGAAGCCUGAACCAGCCAUGCCGCGUGAAGGACUAAGGCCCUAUGGGUCGUAAACUCUUUAGACGCAGAGCAAUAAGGGUCUCGUGAGAUCCGAUGAGAGUAUGCGUAGAAUAAGCAUCGGCUAACUCCGUGCCAG
rnacentral:rRNA from 1 species